UACGUAGGUGGCAAGCGUUGUCCGGAUUUACUGGGCGUAAAGAGCGCGCAGGCGGUCGUUCAAGUCGCGUGUGAAAGCCCCCGGCUCAACUGGGGAGGGUCGUGCGAAACGGGUGAACUAGAGGCCAGUAGGGGGAUGCGGAAUUCCGGGUGUAGUGGUGGAAUGCGUAGAGAUCCGGAGGAACACCAGCGGCGAAGGCGGCAUCCUGGACUGGUCCUGACACUCAGGAGCGAAAGCGUGGGGAGCGAUCCGG
rnacentral:rRNA from 1 species